AGAGUCUGAGCCUGGAUUUUGAACCCCACUCAUCUCAAGGAUUCUCUGUGUGACCUUGCAGCUAGAGAGCAAGGUCAGACACCUGUGCAGCCCUCCAGGAAAACACCCAGCUUCUGGCUGGGGCGCAAGCUGGAGUCCUCAGGCCUGCCUGUCACUGGAGCCCCUGGGAGUGGUGAUGAUAAACCAGGUACUGGACGGAGAGGGAGGAGGAGCAACAGGCGAGACAGAGAACUGUGGCAUCCGCAGGAGCUCGAAAGAAAGGAAGUCGUCCCCACUUAGUCUAGUGGGUACUUGUAACCACUGAUAGUACCUGUAUAUGCUGGGUACCUGUGACCAUGCACAGUACUGAACCCUGAGUAUGUUGACACCUGUGACUCUGGAGAGUACUGAACCCUGUGUAUGCUGAAUACCUGUAACCAUGAUGAGUACUGACCCCUCUAUAUACUGAGUACCUGUAACCAUGGAGAGUACUGAACCCUGUGUAUGCUGAGUACCUGUGACCCUGGGGGGUACUGAGCCCUGUGUAUGCUGAGUACCUGUGACCCUGGAGAGUACUGAGCCCUGUGUAUCCUGAGUACCUGUGACCAUGGAGAGUACUGAGCCCUAUGUGUGCUGAGUACCUGUGACCACAGA